UUGCACUCAUAUGCUGGUGAAUUGCUUCUAAAGCGUUCGAUUUCAACGAGAGUUUGGAAUCUUCGAACGUUCGAGGAUGUAGAGAGAGAAUAGACCUUCCGUGAAACGGAUCAACAGGUUUUGAGGCCUGCGAUUGCAUCAAUUGGGGGGUUUUUGUGAUGAAUUUGAAACCCUAGAUUGAUAGUAGAUGUGUAAUGGUGAUUUGAAAUUGGGAAAUUACUCCUUGCUAAUUAAUAAAACGUUUUUGUUGGCCGUUCAAAAAAAAAAAGUAUGCCAGGCGGGAUGCUCUUCUAGUUCUACUCCUUGAAAAAAAAAAAAAAAAAAAAAAAAAAAAAAAAA
rnacentral:lncRNA from 1 species